GUGAAGAGUGUAUCAAAUGGCUAAAAGAAAAUGAUGAGCCCCAAGAAGAAGUGAUACAGAAGUGGAAGGAAACAUUUGCGCAAAGACGUUUGUGUGACAACGUUAAUUAUUACUUUUCUCAGUAUAAAUGUUUGCGAUCGCCGAUUGGACAUAUUUUGAUUUCUCAAGAUUUUGAUGCUGUGUAUCCAGAUUCAGUUAAAAUCUUUACCGAUUCUUGGGAUGAUGUUUCGAAAUUAAUAGUGUCGUAUGCAACAUCAAAAAAGAAAUUGUUCUUGUCUGAGGAAGUAUUUGUUACAUCAGAGAAAUACUCUAUAUUAGGAUUGCUUUGCUUGCCUCGCCUUUUAGGAGUGCUAUUGAAAAAAAGAAAAGGAUUCGAACCAUUCGGGUGUUGUUCCGAGGAUGUGAAAAACUCUUUCAUCGUUAACGUGCAGACGCAAGAAGAUUUAAACAAGUUUAAGGAACAAAGAACUGCAAAUGCAAAUGUACACGGCAAACCAGUUGGUCCAUACGUUGCAGUUGUUGGAAAUUUGGAAGAAGACGGAAACCC